rnacentral:rRNA from 1 species
AUGGCUGGAUUCCCGUUUUUAGCCGGUAGUCACCUGCUUCUGAUGAAAUCGUCCCGUCAACGCGACCAAUCUCGCUCUGCUCCGUUGUUGCAGCCGCCGGGAACUCCAGCGAUCCAGGGGGACCUUUCCUUCCGCGGGAUGGAAGAAGGCCGGCCACCACGGCGGACCGCCGCCCAGAUAAAAUUCUGGUCAAUCUUCAUCAGGGGUUUUACACUCACAGGUGGCAUCGCAUGGGCGGUUUGGCUCUUGGUGGCGCGGUUUGUGUACCAGAAUCAAGAAUUGCAGGACACCUUUACAAUGAUACUUCUUUUGAUCCUUUCUCUCGUGCCGGCAGGAUUCUUUUGGUGCUUAACACAUGAAGUUAUGCAGACACCUACUCCGUCCUAG